AUUGAACGCUGGCGGCAUGCUUUACACAUGCAAGCCGAACGGUAACAGGCCGCAAGGUGCUGACGAGUGGCGCACGGGUGAGUAAUGCAUCGGAACGUGCCCAGUCGUGGGGGAUAACUACUCGAAAGAGUAGCUAAUACCGCAUACGAUCUAUGGAUGAAAGCGGGGGACCGUAAGGCCUCGCGCGAUUGGAGCGGCCGAUGUCAGAUUAGGUAGUUGGUGGGGUAAAGGCUCACCAAGCCAACGAUCUGUAGCUGGUCUGAGAGGACGACCAGCCACACUGGGACUGAGACACGGCCCAGACUCCUACGGGAGGCAGCAGUGGGGAAUUUUGGACAAUGGGCGCAAGCCUGAUCCAGCAAUGCCGCGUGCAGGAAGAAGGCCUUCGGGUUGUAAACUGCUUUUGUACGGAACGAAACGGCUCUGGUUAAUACCCGGGGCUAAUGACGGUACCGUAAGAAUAAGCACCGGCUAACUACGUG
rnacentral:rRNA from 1 species